rnacentral:rRNA from 1 species
CAUUACCGAGAGGAGGGCUUCCGGGCCCUAGGGGGUUCUCCCCCCGCACCUUUCCACCCUUUGUGUAUCUUCCACUGUUGCUUUGGCGGGCCCCGGGGUCUUUUCCCGGCGCUGGUCCCCUCUUCGGGGUCUCGCGAGUGUCCGCCAGACGCCUAUUUAAAUCCUGCUUUAUCAGUGAAGUCUGAGUCUACGAAUAAUGAAACAAAACUUUCAACAACGGAUCUCUUGGUUCUGGCAUCGAUGAAGAACGCAGCGAAACGCGAUAGGUAAUGUGAAUUGCAGAAUUCAGUGAAUCAUCGAAUCUUUGAACGCACAUUGCGCCCUCUGGUAUUCCGGGGGGCAUGCCUGUUCGAGCGUCAUUACAACCCUCAAGCACUGCUUGGUAUUGGGUGCUCGCGCCCCGCAUUCGCGGGGGGCGCGCCCGAAAUGUAGUGGCGGUCCCGGCGGACUUCAAGCGCAGUAAAUCUUAUCCGCUUCGGAAGCCUUCCGCCGGUGGCCCUGCCAUCAACCCCCAAUCUUCCACGAAAUUGACCUCGGAUCAGGUAGGGAUACCCGCUGAACUUAAGCAUAUC